AACGAACGCUGGCGGCAUGCCUAACACAUGCAAGUCGAACGAGACCUUCGGGUCUAGUGGCGCACGGGUGCGUAACGCGUGGGAACCUGCCCUUAGGUUCGGAAUAACUCCCCGAAAGGGGUGCUAAUACCGGAUAAUGUCUUCGGACCAAAGAUUUAUCGCCUUUGGAUGGGCCCGCGUUGGAUUAGCUAGUUGGUAGGGUAAAAGCCUACCAAGGCGACGAUCCAUAGCUGGUCUGAGAGGAUGAUCAGCCACACUGGGACUGAGACACGGCCCAGACUCCUACGGGAGGCAGCAGUAGGGAAUAUUGGACAAUGGGCGAAAGCCUGAUCCAGCAAUGCCGCGGGAGUGAUGAAGGCCUUAGGGUUGUAAAGCUCUUUUACCCGGGAUGAUAAUGACAGUACCGGGAGAAUAAGCGCCGGCUAACUCCGUG
rnacentral:rRNA from 1 species